ACUGGGACAAAUUACUUUUUCUUGGUCAGUCUUCAAGUGUCGACCAAACUCCUUGAGGCCAAAGCAGUGGAGUCCUGCUCCCCGCCCCUCCCCCACCUCCGCACCCCUCCUGAGAGGCCCCACGUGACACAGAACUUUACUGGCCUCUUGAAAAUGACAUCACAAGACCUUAAGAAGAGCUAAACGGGCUGCCACCUGUAGCUGAAGAGUGCCUUAACGCCGAGGCCCACGGCUCCAUGCGAGAGAUGCCUGUUCCUUCUCUGAUAAAUUUGGCAGCUUCACGUACCCUAGGGCCCAGAAAGGACCUGUUUCCUCAACACCCUGACCAGCACAGAACAUUGUAAUAAUGACAAUUAUCAGUCAUUUAGCUCCAACUAAGCCCCAGAUAUUGUCAUAAAUUCUUUACAUAUAUUGAGUCAUAGAAUAAUCUCAAUAAUAUAUAAGGAUGUUCAUAUAAUCCACAUUUUACAGAAAAGAAAAUUGGAGUUGUGACCGAUUAAUCACAUAAUCACAGUCGUCUAAAUCACAUAGAUUGUAGAUGGAGGAAUAAGAAUGUCAGUGCCUGUGAUUGAAUGAAAAAUGCCCCAAAAGAUAUCCAUGCUCUAAUUCUUGGAAUCUCUGAAUAUUACCUUACUUUGCACAGACCCCCAAAAGGGGGGUCUUCGGAGAAAAAGUUAAAGAUGAAGAAAUUAUCCUGGAUUAUCCAAGUGGAGCUCAAAUACCAUCACAAGUGCCUUUAAUAGGGAGAGGCACAGGGAGAUUAUACAGUUACAGAAGAGAAGAAGACAAUGUGACCACACGGACACAGAUAGAAGCAAUGCCACCACCAGCCAAGGAAUGCGAGCAGCCACCAGAGGCUGGGAAAAGGUAAGGACAUAUUCUUCCCUAGAGCCUCCGGAGGGAGCAUAGCCCUGCCAACACCUUGAUUUCAAACCAGUGAUACUGAGUUUGGACUUUUGGCCUCCAGAACUGUGAGAAAAGAAGUCACUUAUUUUAGGCCAUCAAGUUUGUGGUACUGUAAUUUGUUACAGAAGCUACAGAAAACUAAUUCAACAUCUUUAAGUGCUAUUCGGCACACUACCACAAACAACUGUUUUUGUUUUGCUGUUGUUUGCCAAUCUGAUAUGUUAAAGACAUUAUCUCACUGUAUUUCUAUAGUUUCAUUUUUUAAACUUCUUUUACUUCUUACUUCUAUAUUGCUUUUAUUAUUAAAUUGGUUGCACCAACUGGGAACAACAGAUUUUAUUGUGUCUGCUAUCAACCUUAUCUCAGGCAACAGAUAGAAAUGAAUAAAAUUAACUCUUUAAAACAUAAGUUACAAAUAUUUUCCCCCCCAGUUUUACUUGAUGUUUUGUCACUGUGUUUAUGCCUUUUUUGAGGGGAUGAGGGUACAUCCCAGUGGAAUUUUUUAAAUGUUGUUUAAUGCAGUGAAUUAUGUUAAACUCUCAUUGUCUCUGAAUUUUGUGUAAAAAAUUAGUUUUCUGUACCAAAGUUAUAUAAAAUUUCUGUCUUGGAAUUUCUAGUAAUUAUAACUGUGGGUUUGUUUCAUUCUUUACUUUUACAAUUUGCUUGUAUUUGGAAUUUAUUUUAGUCUCAUAGCUUUAAGCUUUUCUUUUCCUAAGUGGCUGUCCAAUUAGCCCAACACAUGUUUUGAAUAAUCUGCCUAUUUCUAUUGAUUUAAGUUGCCAAUGAUUACAGUCUUAACCAUUUUUUUCUCUCAACUUUUGAGUGUUUCCAUUGGAGAAAAAAAACUAUUUUGGUGGCCUAACAAUGGUUUGUUCACUCUCUCAUAAUACCUGAGCAUGUCAUUUACUCAAGGCAUACAUUGACAGAAGAUUCAAGUGUGGGAAUUCAGUAUGUCUGUUGUUUACUAUUCUAUUUAUGAAGCAGCAGAGUCAGCCUCAAACAUAUUAGCAAUCC
rnacentral:lncRNA from 10 species